CAGUAGCCGCGGUAAUACAGAGGGUGCGAGCGUUAAUCGGAUUUACUGGGCGUAAAGCGUGCGUAGGUGGCUUCUUAAGUCGGAUGUGAAAUCCCUGAGCUUAACUUAGGAAUUGCAUUCGAUACUGGGAAGCUAGAGUAUGGGAGAGGAUGGUAGAAUUCCAGGUGUAGCGGUGAAAUGCGUAGAGAUCUGGAGGAAUACCGAUGGCGAAGGCAGCCAUCUGGCCUAAUACUGACGCUGAGGUACGAAAGCAUGGGGAGCAAACAGGAUUAGAUACCCCUGUAGUCCCUGUCUCUUAUAC
rnacentral:rRNA from 1 species